UACGUAGGGGGCUAGCGUUGUCCGGAAUCAUUGGGCGUAAAGAGCGUGUAGGCGGCUUGGUAAGUCCGCUGUGAAAGUCCAGGGCUCAACCCUGGAAUGCCAGUGGAUACUGUCAAGCUAGAGUCCGGAAGAGGCGAGUGGAAUUCCUGGUGUAGCGGUGAAAUGCGCAGAUAUCAGGAAGAACACCGAUGGCGAAAGCAGCUCUCUGGGACGGUACUGACGCUGAGGCGCGAAAGCGUGGGGAGCGAACAGG
rnacentral:rRNA from 1 species